AAAUCCCAUCCGGUAAGGUAUUAGCCACACCGCCGGUAACGACCUUGAGCCAGCCAGAGCAAUCGGGAAGGUUAAGCGUAGGAAGAUAGGUAAUAGGGAUAGUGAUUGAGCAUCGAAAGACCCUAAUCCAGCAGGCCGAUGCUGUUGACAUAGCAGAAGGCUAUAGGUAAGUUUAUCGUUAUGGCAAGACAU
rnacentral:ncRNA from 1 species